rnacentral:rRNA from 1 species
UCGAGAAUCUUUCGCAAUGGGCGAAAGCCUGACGAAGCGACGCCGUGUGUAUGAUGAAGGCCCUCGGGUCGUAAAGUACUUUCGCUUGGGAACAAGAAAAGCAGGCUAACAUCCUGCAGAUUUGAGCGUACCAAGUAAAGAAGCACCGGCUAACUCCGUGCCAGCAGCUGCGGUAAUACGGAGGGUGCAAGCAUUAAUCGGAUUUAUUGGGCGUAAAGGGCGCGUAGGCGGAAAGGCCAGUCAGAUGUGAAAUCCCGGAGCUUAACUUCGGAACAGCAUUUGAAACUACCUUUCUAGAGGAUAGGCGGAGAAAACGGAAUUCCACAAGUAGCGGUGAAAUGCGUAGAUAUGUGGAAGAACACCUGUGGCGAAAGCGGUUUUCUAGCUUAUUCCUGACGCUGAAGCGCGAAAGCAAGGGGAGCAAACAG